GAUGAACGCUGGCGGCGUGCUUAACACAUGCAAGUCGAGCGAGAAGUUUUGAAAAGAUUCUUCGGAUGAAAUUUAAAAUGGAAAGCGGCGGACGGGUGGGUAACGCGUAGGCAACCUGCCCCAUACAAAGGGAUAGCAUUUGGAAACGAAUAUUAAUACCUUAUGAAACUUAACUAGUGCAUGCUAGGUAGGUCAAAGAUUUAUCGGUAUGGGAUGGGCCUGCGUCUGAUUAGCUAGUUGGUGAGGUAACGGCUCACCAAGGCGACGAUCAGUAGCCGACCUGAGAGGGUGAACGGCCACAUUGGAACUGAGACACGGUCCAAACUCCUACGGGAGGCAGCAGUGGGGAAUAUUGCACAAUGGGGGAAACCCUGAUGCAGCAGCGCCGCGUGAACGAUGAAGGCCUUUGGGUCGUAAAGUUCUGUUCUAGGUGAUGAAAACUGACAGUAACCUAGGAG
rnacentral:rRNA from 1 species